rnacentral:lncRNA from 1 species
GGGCAGCUUCAUCUCUCCCUUGGCCUUAGGCUGGCCUGGGCAGCAACAGCUCUGUCUCUGGCUGUCAGGGCUGCCAGGAUGUGACAAGCGGCAGAUGGGCCUCUGAUCAAUGGACUCCGUCCCCGAGCAAGGACGGUGGGGCUGGGGGCAGGAUGGGGGAGCAGCCGCUAAUGGAUGGGCCCAGGAGCAGUGAUGGAUGGGCAGGAAGAAGCUGCCAUUUGUCUUGGGGAAGUGAGUGACUCCGAGGAGGAGGGGGAGGGAGGGUGGCCCACAGGCUGGGAGAGAGGAGACAGCUGGGAGCCCAGCCAGCUGGGAAGGUGGGGGGAGGGUGCCCCAGCUGGGAUGGGGCAGCGAAGAAGUUUCCUGCCUUAAACCAGAGCUCCCAGCCCUGGCCAGAGAGCAGCCUACCAUGUGGCGCAAAAGAUAUGAAGGAAUCCUCUGGAAAUCAGGCCCUUGCCUUGCUCCUAUUCAGGGUUAGGUCAAGCCUCUGCAGGACUGAUUUCCCUUUUCCUUUUUUCUUUUAGGGCCACAGAGACAGCAUAUGGAAGUUCCUGGGCUAGAGGUCAAACAGAAGCUGCAGCCGCCGGCCUACACCACAGCCACAGCAAUGCCAGAUCCGAGCCACAUCUGUAACCUACACCACAGCUCAUGGCAACGCCAGAUCCUUAAUCCACUAGGCGAGGCCAGGGAUCGAACCUGAAUCCUCAUGGAUACUAGUCGAGUUUGUUUCCGCUGAGCCACGACGGGAACUCCAGGACUGAUUUCCCUUGAAGGCCCUAAAUGCUCUUCCUCGCCUCCCCUUACUGUCCUCUGCUCAGGCCCCAAACUAGGCAGCACGCUGGCUCACUCUUCCUCGAGGUGCCUCCAGGCCUCUCCCUGCUGUGUCCCAUCCGUGAUGCCCUCUCCCCAGACACCUGCCUGCGGUCUGAGGUCAGAGAGGCCUUCUCUGAGCACUGCUCAUAACACAGCAGUGGUUCUGCAGCCUGGGCCCCUGCUGCCGCCUGGCGCUCCCUGUCACUGUGACCCCCACCUGUUAUUAUUAUUUUUAGUACCAGUCACCAUCUGAUAUACUGCGUAUUUUUCUGCUUCCUCUGGUCUGUCUCCCCCACUAGACCCAGGGCUCUUUAUUUAUUUACUUAUUUAUUUUUGUCUUUUUAGGGCCAUUUCUAGUCAGGUUCUUAACCCACUGAGCCACAACAGGAACUCCAAGGACUCUUUUAUUUCUAUUUAUUUUUUUUAUUUGUUUGGGAGUUCCCAUCGUGGCUCAGUGGAAAUGAUUAGGAUUGGUGAGGAUGCAGGUUCGAUCCCUGGCCUUGCUCAGUGGGUUAAGGAUUGGGUGUUGCCAUGAGCUGUGGCUUAGUUUGCAGACAAGUCUCGGACUUGGCAUUGCUGUGGCUGUGGCUGUGGUAUAGGCCCGUGGCUACAGCUCUGAUUCGACCCCUAGCCUGGGAACCUCCAUAUGCCUCAGGUGCAGCCCUAAAAAGACAAAAAAUAAUAAUAAUAAUAAAAAAUUUGUUUAUCUGGGCUAUACCUGCAGCAUGUAGAAGUUCCUGGGCCAGGAAUCAAAUCCCCACCACAGCUGCUCCAGAGCCACAUCAGUGACAACACUGGAUCCUUAAGCCACUGAGCCACUAGGGAACUCCAGCUCUGGACUCUUUUGUUUGCUGCUGUAUCCCUGUUGUUUAGAAUAGCACUCAGGAGGGGUUCCGUGAAUAACUCUUGCUAGCAGGAGGGGAAGGAUUCAAACUCCAGCCCUGACGCUGGCUGGCGUUGUGGGUUUGGGCCAUCUCCCGAGCUUCAGGGUUCUCAGCUGCAGGAUGAAAUGACCAUCCUUCUCCCAGAGUCCCUGGGAAGAUGCCAGCAGGCAGCUGCAUCCCUGUAGGGCCUGGUAAUGGCCAGCUCUGUAACCAGGAGCUACUUUUACCAGCAUUGUCCAUGACCCCUGAUCACGAGGUCAUCCCCUCUGUCUGUUCACCCCAAGUCUCUGCCCUCACCUUGGAUCCCCCCAGAAAGUUGGCCUUCUGUGCUCCCCAAGCCAGCCCUGAAGGAGAUACUCUGUCCUCAUGCCUCAAACCAUAGCCUCUGCCGCCAAGGGUCACCCUGGUCCUGGUGGCUGUCAUUGUCUGUUUCACCCUCAGUCUUCAACCCUGAAGAUAAUGUCGAGAUAGCUUUGUUCUUGUUUUUUCUUUUUUGCUUUUUAGGGCUGCACCCGCAGCAUUUGGAGGUUCCUAGCUUGGGAGCCUCCACAUGCCGCAGGUGUGGCCCUAGAAAAGACAAAAAAAAAGAGAUUCACCUUAGUAGGCAAAGGCUACUUUUCUGCAAACACCUGACACUGCCUGUGGGCACUUUUCUGGCCUCGGGGACGUGUUCGGGGUAUAAGGGGACCCCAAAGUACCAGAGCCUUAAUGUGCCCAGAAGCAGCCCUCAAUCGAUGGCAGACACAUGAUGGAUAAACACCCCAGCUCCCCCACCCUUAAAAGGAGGAUCACAAAGUUCUAAGGUCCUGGACUUGAGUGAUGGUUCAUUUUACGCGUCACCUUGACUGGCCGUGGAGUGCCCGGAUGAAGACGUGAUUUCUGGGGGUGUCUCUGGGGGUGUUUCUGGAUGAGAUAGAGGUGCACUUGACCUGGUGGGCUUUGUAAAAUACCUGGCUCUCCCCCAUGUCAGGGGGCAGCAUUCAACCCACUGAGGGCCUGAGUGGAAUGGAGGCCAAGGAAGGAGACGGUUCCCCUUUUUGCCUGCUUCACGGUCUCACCUGGGACAUGGUACCUCAGUUUCUCCUGACCUUGGAUCGAGUUGACACCGUUGACUCCCCUGUUUCUCAAACCUUCAGACUCAGAUUGAAUCACACCACUGGUUCCAGCUUGUGGGCAGCAGAUCCGGGGCUUCUCGGCCUCCAUAGUCGCGUGAGCCAGUUCCUCCUAAUAAACCAAUGUGUAUGUACGUAUCUUAUUGAUUCUGUUUCUCUGGAGGACCCUGACUAAUGCAGCUUGUUAGGAGGAUUAAAUGCAAAGGUGCAGGCACAAAGCACAGAGCCUGGCUUGUGUACAUCAGAGCUUAAAGCAAAACAGCUAACUGGAUAAUUCCCCCAAACAAAGGCAGCUAAAAUCCAGAUCUCGUCCCCUCAGUCUUCCGCUGGUUAAACUCUUUCCAACCAAUCUCUGCUAUUUGAUCCUCUCUGAUAAUAUUUUCUCUUCUCUCACCAUAAAUGGUUGAAUCCUCAGCAUCCUUGGAUCUGGCCAAGCCCCUCUUGAAGUGUGGAAUCCAUGUUGCAGGUGGAGCAAGGGCUGUGUAGAGCUAGACUGUCACCUCCUUGGUUUAUACCUCUAUUGAUGAAUCCCUCUGUUAAUGAAUCUCUCAAUGUCAGAUCCUAUUACCUUUGGUGUUUCCUGUUGCGUUAAAGAAGAAACUUACUGCACUUAUCUUUUGUUUCUUGUCAUGCUAUAUCUGGUCCCAAAGGCAGAGCUUCUCAUGUACCCAGCCCACACUGGUAAACUGAUGAUGGAGCUUAGAAUUCCAAACUAUGGAGUUCCCGUCGUAGCGCAGUGGUUAACGAAUCUGACUAGGAACCAUGAGGUUGCGGGUUCGCUCCCUGCCCUUGCUCAGUGGGUUAAGCGUCCGGUGUUGCCAUGAGCUGUGGUGUAGGUCACAGACGCGGCUUGGAUCUGGCGUUGCUGUGGCUCUGGUGUAGGCUGGAGGCUACAGCUCCGAUUAGACCCCUAGCCUGGGAACCUCCAUAUGCCACGAGAGCGGCCCAAUAAAUGGUAAAAAAGACAAAAGAAAAAAAAAAAAA